UUGACUCCGAGGAAACGCGCGCAGCCCAGCAUCCAGGCUCGGUCGCGCCCCGCCUCCCUGCAGACACCGCCCUGCCCCCGCCCGCCUGGAGCCCCAGCUGGCACUCAGCGGGUCCCUUUCCAAUUUGCGGCACAUUCAGGAGUUCGGUAUUCCCACGGGAAGAGCUCGUUGCCAUGGCGAUGCGAGCCUCCCAACCCCGGACCGCCCGGGAGGCCGAGUCCUCCCCCAGCACGGCCCGCCCCCGCCCGCUGGAGAGGGUCGCGGCGUGGGGGAAGGCGCGCCAAUGACGGACCCAGGUGGCUGCCCAGGGGAAAGCUGCAAGCGCAUCACCGACUGGCCUGGAAAGCCUUUCAUCUCUGCUCCAGCAGCAGCAGCUCUUUGAUGAAUUGUGUCUCGUGGCUUUGGGGCCUCCAGCCAUACCGUGCUGUAAAUCCCUGGGUGCCUGCUGGCUCCGAUCUGGGGCUCCCCCUUCCCUCCUCCUGCUGCCUCAAGACUCAGGGACUUGCAGUCGCAAUAAACCUUGAUUUUUCCAAGA